rnacentral:rRNA from 1 species
GAGGAAAAGAAACUAACAAGGAUUCCCUUAGUAACUGCGAGUGAAGCGGGAAAAGCUCAAAUUUAAAAUCUGGCAGUCUUUGAUUGUCCGAAUUGUAAUCUAGAGAAGCAUUUAUCCGUGCUGGACCAUGUAUAAGUCUCCUGGAAUGGGGCGUCAUAGAGGGUGAGAAUCCCGUUUUUGACAUGGACUGCCAGUGCAUUGUGAUGUGCUCUCAAAGAGUCGAGUUGUUUGGGAAUGCAGCUCUAAAUGGGUGGUAAAUUCCAUCUAAAGCUAAAUAUUGGCGAGAGACCGAUAGCGAACAAGUACCGUGAGGGAAAGAUGAAAAGAACUUUGGAAAGAGAGUUAAACAGUACGUGAAAUUGUUGAAAGGGAAACGCUUAAAGUCAGUCGCAUUGAUCAGGGAUCAACCUUGCUUUUUGCUUGGUGUACUUUCUGAUCAAUGGGUCAGCAUCAAUUUUGACCAGUGGAAAAAGGCAAAUGGAAUGUAGCAUCUUUUUUUGAUGUGUUAUAGCCUUUUGUUGUAUACAUUGAUUGAGAUUGAGGAAUUCAGCAUGCCGCAAGGCCGGGUUUUAAUCACGUUCAUGCUUAGGAUGCUGGCAUAAUGGCUUUAAUCGACCCGUCU